rnacentral:lncRNA from 1 species
AGACAUCCCUCAUCUGUGAGGGUUAUUUGUCUGGACAUGUACUUUAUUGAAUUUAAUGUAAUAAUGUAAGUCCCAGUUAUGUAUAUUUGAUUGUAAAUAUCAGUGUAAUGUCUGCUAUAAUAGUAGUUGUAAAUAUCAGUGCAAUACAGUAAUUUGAUGUGUAAUCAGUAUUAAAAAAGAAAAAGAUAUCUUGCUCAAGAAACUAA